rnacentral:rRNA from 1 species
GACGAACGCUGGCGGCGUGCUUAACACAUGCAAGUCGAACGGAAAGGCCCUGCUUUUGUGGGGUGCUCGAGUGGCGAACGGGUGAGUAACACGUGAGUAACCUGCCCUUGACUUUGGGAUAACUUCAGGAAACUGGGGCUAAUACCGGAUAGGAGCUCCUGCUGCAUGGUGGGGGUUGGAAAGUUUCGGCGGUUGGGGAUGGACUCGCGGCUUAUCAGCUUGUUGGUGGGGUAGUGGCUUACCAAGGCUUUGACGGGUAGCCGGCCUGAGAGGGUGACCGGCCACAUUGGGACUGAGAUACGGCCCAGACUCCUACGGGCGGCAGCGGUGGGGAAUAUUGCGCAAUGGGCGGAGGCCUGAUGCAGCAACGCCGCGUGCGGGAUGACGGCCUUCGGGUUGUAAACCGCUUUCGCCUGUGACGAAGCGUGAGUGACGGUAAUGGGUAAAGAAGCACCGGCUAACUACGU